CAGAUCAUUGAGUUCCUUUGAUAAUGCUUCUUUUCGAUACUGAAAACUAAUAAGUAAACCAUAGAGCAGAGCACAGCUGAAACACAGGUCCUCUCACUUCCAAAGUUCUAAUGAAGAUUCAAGUUUACUUUGUGCCAAAUUUAGCGGCUUGCUUUGGACUUGUAUAAAUUUUCUUGCAAAUUCAAAUCAGUUACUGUAAUAAAUUCAUAAAGGGAAUAGCUGUAGAUUGCUUCACAUGCAAAAAGCAGAAACCUAAUUAUUUUGCGUCACACUUCAGCGAUCAAUUUUUCUUGGUUCUAUGGCCAAAUAAGCACCAUAUGUUAAUUCAUUUUGAACUAAUCCCUUUUCCUUUUCCUUCAUUUUCUUUUAUCCAUUGUCAUUUAUUUCCAGCAAGCUGUGAAACUAUGCACACACAGAUUACUGUUGUCUGUACAAAUUACCCAAGUGCUAAAGUUGUAAGUUGACAUUAUUUA